rnacentral:rRNA from 1 species
AUUGAACGCUGGCGGCAGGCUUAACACAUGCAAGUCGAGCGGGGUGAUGGUGCUUGCACUAUCACUUAGCGGCGGACGGGUGAGUAAUGCUUAGGAAUCUGCCUAUUAGUGGGGGACAACAUCUCGAAAGGGAUGCUAAUACCGCAUACGUCCUACGGGAGAAAGCAGGGGAUCACUUGUGACCUUGCGCUAAUAGAUGAGCCUAAGUCGGAUUAGCUAGGUGGUGGGGUAAAGGCCUACCAAGGCGACGAUCUGUAGCGGGUCUGAGAGGAUGAUCCGCCACACUGGGACUGAGACACGGCCCAGACUCCUACGGGAGGCAGCAGUGGGGAAUAUUGGACAAUGGGGGGACCCUGAUCCAGCCAUGCCGCGUGUGUGAAGAAGGCCUUAUGGUUGUAAAGCACUUUAAGCGAGGAGGAGGCUCUUUUGGUUAAUACCCAAGAUGAGUGGACGUUACUCGCAGAAUAAGCACCGGCUAACUCUGUGCCAGCCGCCGCCGUAA